rnacentral:rRNA from 1 species
GACGAACCGUCCAAACGUUAUUCGGAAUUACUGGGCUUAAAGGGUGCGUAGGCGGCGCGGAAAGUUGGGUGUGAAAUCCCUCGGCUCAACCGAGGAACUGCGCUCAAUACUACCGUGCUCGAGGGAGAUAGAGGUGAGCGGAACUUAGGGUGGAGCGGUGAAAUGCGUUGAUAUCCUAAGGAACACCGGUGGCGAAAGCGGCUCACUGGAUCUCUUCUGACGCUGGGGCACGAAAGCUAGGGUAGCGAACGGG